UUUGACUUGUAUUGGAUUUACUUACAUCUAUAAGCAAAUAUUUUCAAAUAUAGACUUUAUUAAGAAUAAAUUAAGAAGCCAACUGAAUGAUAUCAGUCUUGAUACUUGUUUGAAGUUGAAAACUACAGAUUACUCUCCAAAUUUUAAUAAACUAUGUGCACAAAUUCAGUGUCGAAAAUCCCACUAAUUAAGCAGGUAUGUUUUUUUUAUUUUUGUGUCUUAUUGUGUCUAAUCAAAUAAUAUAUUUGUAUAAACAAUAAUAACAAUGUAAUAAAUAAUAAUUGAUGAAAUAAAUUUUUUCUAAAUUUAAGACGUAUUAUUAUAAUUUUAAUGCUUACUAAUUGCAAUUUCUCAAUGAAGUAAUAAUACAACAACUACGACAAAAAAAAAUAUUGUUCAAACCUAUGGGGUUCUCUGGACAUGGAUCUUUCCUACGGAAAGGUUCCUGACCCCUUUAGACUAUGGUAGCAAUAUGAUGUAAUCCCUUAUAUGGUUAUGUCAAUGGAGAAAAGUCUGCUAAAUUACUUGUGGCAGUCAACUUGUAAAACGUGUUAAAUAUUCAAAAAAAUAUACACUAAUUGAAAUAUUGAGUGUUCAACGACCAAAAAAUCUAUUUGUGUACGAUUGUUCGUCCAUUUUGAAAUUCACUAAAUUUCGGGACUAUUUAAUCCUCAUUAUGGGAAAUGUGCAUUUUCGUUUUGUUUUGGCUUCCCUACUCUCAUCUCUAUCCGAUCCGCGGAUCUCGUCGACGACGCGAGACGACUGAACAACAGAACGCUGCGAGCGUUUCGAACAAUCGUCCGGGUUCACCCUAGGGGAAUAUUAUUAUUAUAAUUCACUGGCAAUCUAUAUUCAUGCAAUGUCAAAAACUUGUAUUCAACUCGUGUUCAUAAUAAUAGUAGGUAUAAUAUUGUAUACUAUAUUAUAUACUGCUCGCCAAUAACAAAAGUUAUCAUAUUUUCGAUUAGAAUAUUUAAAUAAUAUCCACAAUAAUAUCAGAGUUCAAUUAUUUAGAUAUAUGAUAUUUACGGUGAUACUAUUAUUUUAAUAUUAUCACCUUCUUGUGGUAAUUAUAUGAGUCUCUGGUCAGUAGUGAAGCAAUAAGAAUAAUAUUCUAAAAACAGUUUUGAACAUUUCGAUCAUAUAUAGUUUAAUAUUCGAAAUUGACUUUCCCGCGUUAUUGAUUUGUUUUUCGAAAAUUAUUUAAAUUUUCGAUAAAAUAUUUUAGAUUUUGAAUGAAGUGAAUAAUGUAUUAGUUUGAACGUGAUAACCUAAUCUGUAAGCAGCUAUGCUUAUAUUGGUAAUGUAGGUUGAAACAUGAAUGGUAGUAACAAUAGUGUAGCCAAAUCAUUAUAAAAAUAUGAAUAAAAAUAUAUAGCAAUACCUAUGCAUAUACUUAUAUGUUCAUUUUAUGUAACAUUUUCCAGGUUUUUUAGGGCCGUUAAAUUUAAUAAAAAAAGUGGGAAUAAGUAGGCUCCAAUUUAAUAGGUUUAUAUUUAAGUAGAAAGUUUAACUUAAGUUUAAAUGAAACAAAUUUUUUGAAACAGACAUGUUAUUUUACCUGGAUACAAGUACCCAAAAUCUAAGUCAAUCUUAUGUUUGAAAAAUAAUAAAAACAAAACUUUAUUAAAAUAUAUUUAAUUUAAGUCAAUUAAAUAAUUAACUGAUUCUGUAUAUCAACUAACAAGGAUUUUUCAAUGCUAGAUAAACAUUUAUAAUGUUUGUGUUUUUUUUGUUGUGUGUAUUUAAUCGAAAUUUUGCAAUUUCUUUCCAAAGGUUUUUGAAGAAUAUUGUCUAAAUUCAACAUUAUUUUUCAGCCAAUUCAGAGAAGGCCAAAGAAUCUAAAAUAAGUAAGUCACCCCCCAUAAGGGACAUCCCUUCGUCAAAUGGAUCACAUCAUGCAAUGUGACGGAUGCAGACGUCCACAUAAGCCUUCAGUUGAGCGGUCUGGGAAAGAUCGUUGGACACACUAUAAUUGAUAUCGAGGCUAGCAUCUCGAAUUGGAUAAUAAAAGAAACUGUGUUGAAGUUGGACAAGAGACUUAGAGACUUAGACCUAGUUAUUAUAGUAUAAUUCCUACUAACUAAAAUCAUGGCCGAU